rnacentral:rRNA from 1 species
GGGUCAGUAGGUUGGUCGUGCCACCGGUACGUACUGGACUCACUGAUUCCUCCUCCCUGAAGAACCGUAAUGCCAUUAAUUUGGUGUUGCGGGGAAACAGGACUGUUACUUUGAAAAAAUUAGAGUGUUUAAAGCAAGCUAACGCUUGAAUACAUUAGCAUGGAAUAAUGAAAUAGGACGAUCGAUCCUAUUUUGUUGGUUUCUAGGAUUGACGUA